rnacentral:rRNA from 1 species
CCUACGGGAGGCUGCAGUGAGGAAUAUUGGUCAAUGGACGAGAGUCUGAACCAGCCAAGUAGCGUGAAGGAUGACUGCCCUAUGGGUUGUAAACUUCUUUUAUAAAGGAAUAAAACGAGGGACGGGUGCCUGUUUGCAUGUACCUUAUGAAGAAGGAUCGGCUAACGCCGGGCCAGCAGCCGCGGUAAUACGGAGGUUCCGAGCGUUAACCGGAUUUAUUGGGUUUAAAGGGAGCGUAGAGGGGUUGUUAAGUCAGUUGGGAAAGUUUGCGGCUCAACCCUCAAAUUGCAAUUGAUACUGGCAGUCUUGCGUACCGUUGAGGUAUGCGGAAUUCGUGGUGUAGCGGUGAAAUGCUUAGAUCUCACGAAGAACCCCGAUUGCGAAGGCAGCUUACUAAACUGUGACUGACAUUGCUGCUCGAAAGUGUGGGUAUCAAACAGGAUUAGCUACCCUAGUAGUC